AGCGAACGCUGGCGGCAGGCCUAACACAUGCAAGUCGAACGAACCUUUCGGGGUUAGUGGCGGACGGGUGAGUAACACGUGGGAACGUGCCUUUAGGUUCGGAAUAACUCAGGGAAACUUGUGCUAAUACCGAAUGUGCCCUUCGGGGGAAAGAUUUAUCGCCUUUAGAGCGGCCCGCGUCUGAUUAGCUAGUUGGUUGAGGUAAUGGCUCACCAAGGCGACGAUCAGUAGCUGGUCUGAGAGGAUGAUCAGCCACAUUGGGACUGAGACACGGCCCAAACUCCUACGGGAGGCAGCAGUGGGGAAUCUUGCGCAAUGGGCGAAAGCCUGACGCAGCCAUGCCGCGUGAAUGAUGAAGGUCUUAGGAUUGUAAACCGCUUUCGCCUGUGACGAAGCGUGAGUGACGGUAAUGGGUAAAGAAGCACCGGCUAACUACGUG
rnacentral:rRNA from 1 species